AUGAGUUUUACUUUAUUAUAUUUGUCAUUAAAAUUAUAAGAUCUUGAGUUUACGUGUUAAUUAUAAUUAAUUAUGUAUUUAUAAACUUAAUCUCAUACAAUUUUAAUCUUUAAUUUUUAUGAUUCUGACUUAUUUAGUUCUUAGAUUCUAAAAUUUCAAUACUGACACAUAAUAUUAUAAAAUUGUAACCAAAAAACGCAAGUAUGCUUUAGUUGACAAAAAAAAUUAGAUAUUUUUUAAACAAUACCAUCUUAAAUGUCAAAUCAAAG
rnacentral:misc_RNA from 1 species